rnacentral:rRNA from 1 species
UACGUAGGGACCAAGCGUUGUUCGGAUUUACUGGGCGUAAAGGGCGCGUAGGCGGCUUGUCAAGUCACUUGUGAAAUCUCUGGGCUUAACCCAGAACGGCCAAGUGAAACUGACAUGCUAGAGUGUGGAAGGGGCAAUCGGAAUUCUUGGUGUAGCGGUGAAAUGCGUAGAUAUCAAGAGGAACACCUGAGGUGAAGACGGGUUGCUGGGCCAACACUGACGCUGAGGCGCGAAAGCCAGGGGGAGCAAAUGGG